rnacentral:rRNA from 1 species
GACGAACGCUGGCGGCGUGCUUAACACAUGCAAGUCGAACGGAAAGGCCCUUUCGGGGGUACUCGAGUGGCGAACGGGUGAGUAACACGUGGGUGAUCUGCCCUGCACUUUGGGAUAAGCCUGGGAAACUGGGUCUAAUACCGGAUAGGACUACGGCCUGCAUGGGUUGUGGUGGAAAGCUUUUGCGGUGUGGGAUGGGCCCGCGGCCUAUCAGCUUGUUGGUGGGGUGAUGGCCUACCAAGGCGACGACGGGUAGCCGGCCUGGGAGGGUGUCGGGCCACACUGGGACUGAGGUACGGCCCAGACUCAUACGGGAGGGAGCGGUGGGGAAUAUUGCACAAUGGGCGCAAGCCUGAUGCAGCGACGCCGCGUGGGGGAUGACGGCCUUCGGGUUGUAAACCUCUUUCAAUAGGGACGAAGCGCAAGUGACGGUACCUAUAGAAGAAGCACCGGCCAACUACGUGCCAGCCGCCGCAGUAAAAC